rnacentral:rRNA from 1 species
GCAGUCGACGAUGAACCGGUGCUUGCACUUGGGGAUUAGUGGCGAACGGGUGAGUAACACGUGAGCAACCUGCCCCUCACUCUGGGAUAAGCGCUGGAAACGGCGUCUAAUACUGGAUACGAGUCGCAAUCGCAUGGUUAGUGACUGGAAAGAUUUUUUGGUGGGGGAUGGGCUCGCGGCCUAUCAGCUUGUUGGUGAGGUAAUGGCUCACCAAGGCGUCGACGGGUAGCCGGCCUGAGAGGGUGACCGGCCACACUGGGACUGAGACACGGCCCAGACUCCUACGGGAGGCAGCAGUGGGGAAUAUUGCACAAUGGGCGGAAGCCUGAUGCAGCAACGCCGCGUGAGGGAUGACGGCCUUCGGGUUGUAAACCUCUUUUAGCAGGGAAGAAGCGAGAGUGACGGUACCUGCAGAAAAAGCACCGGCUAACUACGUGCCAGCAGCCGCGGUAAUACGUAGGGUGCAAGCGUUAUCCGGAAUUAUUGGGCGUAAAGAGCUCGUAGGCGGUUUGUCGCGUCUGCUGUGAAAUCCCGAGGCUCAACCUCGGGCCUGCAGUGGGUACGGGCAGACUAGAGUGCGGUAGGGGAGAUUGGAAUUCCUGGUGUAGCGGUGGAAUGCGCAGAUAUCAGGAGGAACACCGAUGGCGAAGGCAGAUCUCUGGGCCGUAACUGACGCUGAGGAGCGAAAGGGUGGGGAGCAAACAGGCUUAGAUACCCUGGUAGUCCACCCCGUAAACGUUGGGAA